rnacentral:rRNA from 1 species
GAUGAACGCUGGCGCCUUCCUUAUAACUUCCAAUUCAACCGAAAGAACAGGAGCUUGCUCCCCUGAACUUAGGGGGGGACGGGGGGGGAAACAGGGGGAAACCUACCUUUAAGAAUGGGAAAACUUUGGGAAACCCGGACCAAAUCCGGAAAAAAUAUUUAACCGCCAGGUUUCAUUGGUAAAGACGGUUUUUCUGGUACUUUUUGGUGGAUCCGCGCCGCAUUAGCUAGUUGGUAAGGUAACGGCUUACCAAGGCAACGAUGCGUAGCCGACCUGAGAGGGUGAUCGGCCACACUGGAACUGAGACACGGUCCAGACUCCUACGGGAGGCAGCAGUAGGGAAUCUUCCGCAAUGGGCGAAAGCUUGACGGAGCAACGCCGCGUGAGUGAUGAAGGUCUUCGGAUCGUAAAACUCUGUUAUUAGGGAAGAACAAAUGUGUAAGUAACUAUGCACGUCUUGACGGUACCUAAUCAGAAAGCCACGGCUAACUACGU